GAGGAGGUGAUGAAUUUUUCCCCAAAUGAUUCGACGUUGAAAUAAGUGCCCUUGUAUUUCUCUUUUGAGGAAAUUCAAGCCAAAAUUUUGAUCCAU